UANGGAAUCUUCGGCAAUGGACGGAAGUCUGACCGAGCAACGCCGCGUGAGUGAAGAAGGUUUUCGGAUCGUAAAGCUCUGUUGUAAGAGAAGAACGAGUGUGAGAGUGGAAAGUUCACACUGUGACGGUAUCUUACCAGAAAGGGACGGCUAACUACGUGCCAGCAGCCGCGGUAAUACGUAGGUCCCGAGCGUUGUCCGGAUUUAUUGGGCGUAAAGCGAGCGCAGGCGGUUAGAUAAGUCUGAAGUUAAAGGCUGUGGCUUAACCAUAGUAGGCUUUGGAAACUGUUUAACUUGAGUGCAAGAGGGGAGAGUGGAAUUCCAUGUGUAGCGGUGAAAUGCGUAGAUAUAUGGAGGAACACCGGUGGCGAAAGCGGCUCUCUGGCUUGUAACUGACGCUGAGGCUCGAAAGCGUGGGGAGCAAACAGGAUUAGAUACCCUGGUAGUCCACGCUGUAAACGAUGAGUGCUAGGUGUUAGACCCUUUCCGGGGUUUAGUGCCGUAGCUAACGCAUUAAGCACUCCGCCUGGGGAGUACGACCGCAAGGUUG
rnacentral:rRNA from 1 species